UUGUCCUCUAGCUCGUGUUGUAGGACACAAGUUGUUUUCCAAAAGUAAGUUUAAAACAUUUCAUCCCCCAAAACCAAAAUCAAACAUGACUAACUAAUCACUUAUGUCACAUUAGUGUUUCUAGAGGCGGAGAGAAAAAAAGUAAGCAAUACAUAGUAUCAACAAUACAAGGACAUGCAACAUAUGAGUUUUAAACCCUAGAAAAGGUAGAAUUAACCGAAUUCUUCUAUUACAAAACUUCUCGGUGCGCCCAAGGAUAGAGCAUGACACACAAGGUUACACAGAAAAGACCUUUGUAGGUUUCCUUUACAAGUAAGCAUAUCUCGUCAUGUAGGAUAUGUACAAAUUGGAGACGAGAUCACACAGUUGUCAUGUUCCCAAAGUCUUAUGGCUCACUAAUAUGUAUUUUUGCUGACCCUGCAACUGUGCUGUACACCUACUUUUUUUUUUAAAAAAAGGGUCCUGUUCGUGAGACGAUUUUUUUAGGGAAACCAGCAGAGGCGAUUUUUUAAAUCGCGUUGACGAGAGCGCUCCCAACCGUCUACCUACCCCACCACGGCACCAUCUCGUCCGUCAUGCGUGCGUGCGUGCCAUCUUUGUCACCGCGCUCGCCGCUUCCCCCCGUACGUGCGGCGCGCGAAUCCGAGCUACCGUCAUCCACACGCGGCGGCGGUUAGGAUCCGGUUCCCGAUCGGCACCGACACCGGGAGAUCCGCUCAGAAAAUGACCCGGAAAAGUUCCAAAUCUGGCGCGCGGCGAGGAGAGGGAUGGGAUGGGGGGAAAGGAAGGGGAGGCGGCUGAGCGGGAGAUGGCGCCGCCGACGCCACCGCCGCGAGCCCAUGGCUGCCGGGGCGGUGGCUCCGGCUCCAGGCGGUCCGGCUAGCCCGGAUCCCGCGCGAGGUCGGUGGCGACGAUUUUUUAGGCGGUUCUUCUCCGGCUCUGUUGACUGUUUGUGUGCUGCUACUGCCACGGCCCGCCGCCCCUUGUUUCGCGGCGGAUCCAUCUCGAUCCGUUGGAGCUGGCACGCACGCACGCACGGAAGCUCGGUUGGUUAGCCGCUGGUUUUGCUCGGCGGUUUGUUGGUUUGUUGGUCGAUAGAUAGAUAGAUGUUGGAUGGCUCCGCGCGCAAUCUCGCCUGUUUCUGCCGCCGCCGUAGUCUCUCAUGGCCCGUGGAAUGGACUCGUCCAUCGUUCACUGACCACAGAGACAGACACAGAGUCGUAUCCCUGGCGCUUAAGGAUGGAUCCCAACUGCUAGCUUCUUUUUGAUUGUCCAGACAAUAGAUAGAUGCUUACGCAAACUAUGGCUUUUCCUUCUUCUGUAUCCAAAGUUCCAAACCCAAGUUUCGAACUGAAAAAGGCUAUAUACAGCACGCCACGCUACAUGUAUGCGGCCGCACGUUCAAAUAGGCAGCUUACAUUUUAAGCAUGCCAUGCGAUGCGAUGUGAUGUGAUGAUGCAGUAGUGAUCCAUGUGAAAAGAUAGUGCAAAAACGCAGCUUACUCUGAUAAUUGCUGUAAUUGAUGCAGUAUUUUUCCCCAGUAAGGAUCGUUACAACAUGUUAGUUCUUCUUCUUUGUGAAGCAUCUGAUAGCAAUUUCUUUGUCUGGAAUCUAAUGGAACUUCAACAAAGUGGUAUGUCUCGUUCACUGACCACAGAGUAGUAUCCCAACCUGGAAUUAUCCAAACAAUACUUUCCUUCUCUUUUUUAAAGUCUUGACCUAAGUUUCAAACUGAAGACUAGAUAACACACCAUGCCACAUGCAUGCUGCUGCACAUUCAGAUAGGCAACUACAUUUAGCAUUAGUGCUCGAUGUUCUGAAAUUAACAGUAGCCAUAACCAAUUCUGCUAAUUGUUGUAAUUCACACAGUGUCUUCCCUGUAAGAUCUUUAGAACAUAGCUUUUUUUUUUGCUUCUUUGUGAAGCAUCUUAUUAUAGCAAUUUCCCUGUAGUGAGUAAUGACAUCACUCUGCUUUGUUCAGGCAGGCGCAAGAAAUGGAUAAAUGUGAUGAAGCCCUUGGACUGCUGAAUUUGCACUGGAGUCUGUCCUAAGCUAUUCAGGAGCUUACCAACAACUGUCAUGCAUUCUUGGUCAUGAAUGCAGCCAGGCAGAUUUAACAACCUCCAAUCUAGGGAAAAUAACAACAGACAAACACAGAUACAACAUUUGUGCCUGUGCAGGGGGUUAACUAUCCUACGGGCAAGAAGCAUCAACCAGAAGCUCAAGCAUAAAAAAGACUUCAUGACUGUGACUUGGGAGAUUUGGUCGAACAUUGUGUUCCACGCUUACAUUGGUGCUUUUCUGGAGUAACGAUCAAGCUGCAACAGUUUUGUGACUGCAGAAUCCAGCAGGGUAAAUCUUCGUUCCGUUUUGAUAAUCGACCGGACAAAUUUCCAUUUUUCUCCCGUCACAUUGAUGCAAGCUUCUUGGUAUACCUAAUCAUCAUUGAAACUUAUUAGGUUUGCACUGGUAAAAUUAGCAAGUUGUAACUCUAGUAUGCAAGGCUGUUAGGUGCAUGAGGGGUCAGAGGGUGUACUGUCAAAUUUAGUCGAGCAUUGUGUUCCAGUCUUGCAUUGUGGUUUUCUGGAGUAACGAUCAAGCUGCAACAGUAUUAUGACUGCAGAAUUCAGCAGGGUAAACCUUCGUUCUGUUUUGAUAAUCGAUCUGUCAAAUUUCAGCUUUUCUCCCGUCACAUUGAUACAAGCUUGUUGGUAUACCUAAUCAUCAUUGGAACUUAGGUUUGCAUUGGUACAAUUAGUAAGUUGUAACUCUAGUAUGCAAGGCUGUUAGGUGCAUGAGGGUCAAAUUUCUUUUAUAUCUGAAAGGGACCUAUGAGCAAAUGGUAGUGGAAGUACUUGUGUAGGGCUAUUAUAACCCACAGAGCACCAUUUAGUAAUUUGCACCACUAAAUGCCAAACCCCACAUAGUAACUAACAUAAAAGCCAAUGUCUGUGCUUCUCCUCUCUGCCUCUCCUCCACCCUCCACUAGACCACUACUGUUUCUGCUUGCUGAUGUUGGAGAAGGUGAUUAUUAGGGUUGUUUGUGUCGGUUGGUGGCAUCCAUUUGUGCUGUCUCUUUUUGUUCAACCACUUGGCAUUGUGAUCUCCACAGCUGCUCUACAGACUCCAGAGCCUGCCUGCACUUUGUCUUCAGUAUGGGUGACAUCCAUUUUUGAAAGCAAAGCUCUCUCUAACUGUUGCUCCAGUGCGCAGAGUGUCUCGGGAGAAGAUAAACGCGCUACCCAGAAAUCAAGACACGAAGCAUGGUGAUCGGGGAUCAUAUGAGAUGAAUUAAAGGAGGCAGCUUAGCUCAGAUUCACUGUGAGCAAAGGUUCCAUUCGGUCAUUCCCAUGUACUCCCUCCGUUCUGAUUUACUCGUCGUGGUUUUAGUUCAAAUUUGAACUAAAACCACGACGAGUAAAUCGGAACAGAGGGAGUACUUUGUUUACUUCAGUCCAACUUCGGACAAACCCCAGGCAAGACAAACCCUCGGAUCACCAGCAGGUGACAGAUCUAUUUAUAUUUUGCUGAUAAUAGCCUGUUGCUGCAAGUGUUUGGUUGUUUUCAACUCCCUCCGUCCCAUAAUAUAAGAUCUUAUUACAUCCAAUAUGAGUAGAAUCUUGCUGAAUUGGGCCUCCGUACUUUCUCAGUUUCCCUACACGAAACUCGGGUUUGUCUACCUUCUGAACCAAGAGACAAACAGUUGCUCUGCUUAGCUUAGCACAUUCGAUGAUUCGAUGCUCUGCUGUGUGUUUACUUAUUUCUUCACUGCAAUGAACUAUCAUGUGUUUGAGCAUCUACCUCAUUAACUGAUUUUGGUUUACGCAGGCUACAUGACUGACGUGGGAGACCAUUUUACUCCAGGCUUGCAUUGUGAGUACUGUGACUGCAGAAUUCAGUGGGGUAAACUUCCAUUCCGUUUAGAAAACCAACCAGUCAAACAUCAGUCCUGCUCACAUCAGCUUGAUGCAAGCUCAUAAUUGGAGCUCAGGUUUGCAUUGGUAAUAUUUUGUAGGCUGUAGCCCUAGUAUGCAAGGCUGUUAGGUGCAUGAGUGUCAGAGGGUGCACUGUCAAGUUCUCUUAUAUCUGAAAGGGACCGCUGAGCAAACGGUGUCUCGGGAGAAGAUAAACGUGCUACACAGAAAUCAAGACACGAAACACGUUGAUGAUCGGGGAUCACGAUCACGAUGAGAUGAAAUACAGGAGCUAGGCAGCUUGGCUCAGAUUCCACUGUGAGCCAAGGUUCCAUUCGGUCAUUCCCAUUUGCUUUCUUUACUUCAGUCCAACUUCGGACAAACCCCAGGCAAGCUGUUUUUUACUACUCACAAACUGUCAGAUCACCACCAGGUGACAAAUCUAUUUAUAUUUUGCUGAUAAUAGCCUGUUGCUGCAAGUGUUUGGUUGUUUUCUAUUCCGUCUGUAAACUAAUAUAAGACAUUUUAGGUCACUACUUUAGUGACCUAAAACAUCUUAUAUUUGUUUACAGACAGAGUAGUAUUUUGUUGGCAUUGGGUCUACAUACUUUCUCAGUCUCCCUACACGACAUUGGGGUUUGUCUACCUUCUGAACCAAAAGACAAAUAGUUACUCUAUUUAGCUUAGACA